GGCCUCCUAGCUCUACUGGUAAAGCGUGCAUGCACCAGGCGUAGGCGGCGUCCAUGCGUGGGUUCGAAUCCCACCGAGGCUA
rnacentral:tRNA from 1 species